UGAGGAAUAUUGGUCAAUGGGCGAUAGCCUGAACCAGCCAAGUCGCGUGAGGGAAGACGGUCCUAUGGAUUGUAAACCUCUUUUGCCGGGGAGCAAGUCCGCCGUCGUGACGGCGGGAUGAGAGUACCCGGAGAAAAAGCAUCGGCUAACUCCGUGCCAGCAGCCGCGGUAAUACGGAGGAUGCGAGCGUUAUCCGGAUUUAUUGGGUUUAAAGGGUGCGUAGGCGGGAUGCCAAGUCAGCGGUAAAAAUGCGGUGCUCAACGCCGUAGAGCCGUUGAAACUGGUGUUCUUGAGUGGGCGAGAAGUAUGCGGAAUGCGUGGUGUAGCGGUGAAAUGCAUAGAUAUCACGCAGAACUCCGAUUGCGAAGGCAGCAUACCGGCGCCCUACUGACGCUGAGGCACGAAAGCGUGGGUAUCGAACAGG
rnacentral:rRNA from 1 species